AUGGCCAUUUUUACAAUAUUGAUUUUUUCCAAUCCAUGAACAUGGAAUAUCUUUCCAUUUCUUUACAUCUUCUUUAAUUUAUUUGAUUAAAGUUUUAUAGUUCUCGGCAUAUAAGUCCUUUACCUCCUUGGUCAGGUGUAUUCUGACAUAUUUGAUUUUUUGAGGUGCAAUUUUAAAGGGUAUUGUAUUUUUGUAUUCCUUUUCUAAUAUUUCAUUGUUGGUAUACAGAAAUGCGACUGAUUUCUGAAUGUUAAUCUUAUAUCCUGCUAUUUUGCUGAAUUUAUUAAUCAGUUCAAGUAGUUUUUGGGUGGAGUCCUUAGGGUUUUCUAUGUAUAGUAUCAUAUCGUCUGCAUGCAGUGCAGUUGUAUCUCUUCUCUUCCUAUUUAGAUGCCUUUUAUUUCUUUUGUUUGUCUAAUUGCUGUGGCUAGGACUUCUAAAACUAUGUUGAAUAGCAGUGGUUAGAGUGGGCAUCCCUAUCUUGUUCCAGAUUUGAGUGAGAAGGCUUUGUUUUUCUCCGUUGAGUAUUAUAUUUGCUGUGGGUUUGUCAUAAAUGGCUUUAUGUUCAGGAAUGUUGCCUCUUUACCCAUUUUGGCAAGAGUUUUGAUCAUGAAUGGAUGUUGGACUUUGUCAAAUGCUUUGAUCAUAUGGUUUUUGACUUUUCUAUUGUUAAUGUUGUGUAUGACGUUGAUUGAUUUGCAUAUGUUGAACCAUCCUUGUGAACCUGGGAUGAACCCUACCUGGUCAUGGUGUAUGAUCUUUUUGAUAUGUUGUUGGUGAGAAUUUUUGCAUCUAUAUUCAUCAAAGAUACUGGCUGAUAGUUUUCUUUUUUGGUGGUAUCUUUGUCUGAUUUUGGAAUUAGGGUGAUGGUGGCAUCAUAGAAUGUCUUUGGGAGUGUUCCUUCUUCAACCUUUUGAAAAAGCUUAUGGAGGACGGGCACCAGAUUCUCUUUAUAUGUUUGGUAGAAUUCGCCUGUGAAGCCAUCUGGUCCUGGACUUUUAUUUAUAGGGAGUGUUUUUAUGACAUCUUCAAUUUCAUUUCUAGUGAUCUGUCUGUUCAGUUGGUGUGUUUCUCCUUGAUUCAGUUUUGGCAGGCUAUAAGAGUCUAGAAAAUUGUCCAUUUCUUCCAGAUUGUCAAAUUUGUUGGCAUAUAGUUGUUCAUAGUAUUCUCUUAUGGUUUUUUGUAUUUCUGCAGUAUCUAUUGUGAUUUCUCCUUUUUCAUUUCUAAUUUUGUUUAUUUGGGUUCUUUCUCUCCUCUUCUUAGUGAGUCUAGCCAGGGGUUUGUCAAUUUUGUUUACCUUUUCAAAGAACCAGCUCUUGGUUUUAUUAAUUUUCUCUAUUGUUUUUUGAAUCUCUAUUUUAUUGAUUUCCUCUUUGAUCUUUAUAAUUUCUUCUGCUGACUUUAGGUCUUUUUUGUUCUUUUUCUAAUUCAUUUAGGUGGAGGGUUAAGUUGUCGACUUGAGAUCUUUCUUCUUUCUUGAGGAAGGCCUGUAUCGCUGUGAAUUUCCCUCUGAGCACUGCUUUUGUGGCAUCCCAUAGAUUUUGAGAGGUUGUGUCUUCAUUAUCAUUUGUCUCAAGGUUUUUUUUUUUUUUUUUUUUUUUUUUUUUGGUCUUCUUGCUAUUUCUUGGGCUGCUCCCAUGGCAUAUGGAGGUUCCCAGGCUAGGGGUCGAAUCGGAGCUGUAGCUGCCGGCCUACACCAGAGCCACAGCAACGCGGGAUCUGAGCUGCAUCUGCAACCUACACCACAGCUCACGGCAACGCCGGAUCGUUAACCCACUGAGCAAGGGCAGGGAUUGAACCCGCAACCUCAUGGUUCCUAGUCGGAUUCGUUAACCACUGCGCCACAACGGGAACUCCUUUUUUUUCUUUUUCUUUUUUUUUCAAGGUAUUUUUUUAAUUGCCUUCUUGAUUUCCUCAUUGACCCAUUGGUUUUUCAGUAGUAUGUUGUUUAGUCUCCAGGUAGUAGGUUUUUUCUCAUUUCUUUUCCUGUGGUUGAUUUCUAGCUUCAUACCGUUGUAUUCAGAGAAGAUACUUGGAAUAAUUUCUUUGCUCCUAAAUUUGUUGAGGUUAGCUUUGUGACUCAAUAUGUGGUUGAUUCUUGAGAAUGUUCCAUGUGCACUUGAGAAGAAUGUGUAUUCCAAUUUUUUUUGAUGUAGUGUCCUGAAGAUGUCAAUUAAGUCUAACUUUUCUAUUGUUUCCUUUAGGAUCUCUGUUGCUUUAUUGGUUUUCUGUCUAGAGGAUCUGUCCAUUGGUGUGAGUGGGGUAUUAAAGUCUCCUACUAUGAUUGUAUUCCAAUCAAUUUCUCCCUUUAUGUCUGUUAAUAUUUGUUUUAUGUAUCUAGGUGCUCCUGUAUUUGGGGCAUAUAUGUUGACGAUAGUAAUAUCCUCUUCUUGGAUGGAUCCCUUAAUCAUUAAAUAGUGUCCUUGUCUUUCCUUAUGUCUUUUGUUUUAAAGUCUAUUUUGUCUGAUAUGAGUAUUGCAACUCCUGCUUUCCUGUCAUGUCUAUUGGCAUGAAAUAUUUUUUCCCACCCCUUCACUUUCAAUCUAUAUGUGUCUUUUGUCCUAAGGUGAGUUUCUUAUAGGCAGCAGAUUGAAGGUUUUUGCUUUUUUAUCCACUUAGCCACUCUUGUGUCUUUUUUUUUUUGUCUUUUUUUGUCUUUUGUCUUUUUGUUGUUGUUGUUGCUAUUUCUUGGGCCGCUCCUGCGGCAUAUGGAGUUUUCCAGGCUAGGGGUUGAAUCGGAGCUGUAGCCACCGGCCUACGCCAGAGCCACAGCAACGCAGGAUCCGAGCCGCGUCUGCAACCUACACCACAGCUCACGGCAACGCCGGAUCGUUAACCCACUGAGCAAGGGCAGGGACCGAACCCGCAACCUCAUGGUUCCUAGUCGGAUUCGUUAACCACUGCACCACGACGGGAACUCCCCACUCUUGUGUCUUUUGAUCGGAGCAUUCAGUCCAUUGACAUUUAAGGUGAUAAUUGAUAGAUGAUUAUUUAUGGCCAUUUUAAACCUCGUAUUCCUGUUCAUUCUAUGGUUCUCCAUUCUUCCUUUUUUUGGUUGGAUGGUCUCUGACUAUUUUCUGCUUGAGUGUUUUUUUUUUUUUUUUUUUUUUCAUUUUUUACAAAUGCAAUGUUUGGUUUUGGUUUGUGGUUGCCCUGUUUUUUAAGUAUGCUAACCCCUUCCUAUAAUUGUGUGUUUUAGCCUGAUGGUCCUGUAGGUUCAAACACUUCAUUACUAUACUACAAUUGAGAGAAAAAAACAAAAAAAGUUUUUAAGAGUCUGUUAAUUUCCUUACUUCCCUUGCCCACAUUUUGUGAUUUUGAUGACUCUUUUUUUCUUUUUGUUUUAAACAUAUUCAUGAUUAAAUCUGUAUGCUGGUUUAUUUGAGUGACUGCUCUCUGAUUGUGGUUUCCUCAAUCCUAGUUCUUCCUCCCCCCCCUUCUUUCCUUCCUUUCUUUUUGGUUUAGAGAAGCCCUUUCAGUAUUUCUUUUAGCCUGGGUUUUGUAUUGCUGCAUUCUUUUAGCUUUUGUUUGUUGGAAAAAAUUUUUAAUUCCCCUUCUAUAUUAAAUGACAUUCUUGCUGGAUAGAGUAUUCUAGGUGCAUAUUUUUUCCUUUUAGCACUUUAAAUAUCUCUUGCCAUUCCCUCCUGGCCUGUAGUUUCUGUAGAGAAAUCAGCUGAUAAUCUUAUGGGGGUUCCCUUAUAGGUCACAUUCUGCUUUUCUCUUGCUGCCUUUAGGAUCCUCUCUUUAUUAUUAACUUUUGCCAUUUUUAUUAUACUGUGUCUUGGUGUGGGUCUAUUUGGGUUCAACUUGUUUGGGGCCCUCUGUGCUUCCUGUAUCUUGAACUCAGUAUCCUUUUAGAUUUGGGAAGUUUCCAGCAAUAACUUCUUGAAAUAUAUUUUCCAUCCCCUUAUCUUUUUCUACUCCUUCUGGAAUUCCUAUUAUGCAUAGAUUGGCCCGCUUUAUAUUAUCCCAUAGGUCUCUUAUAUUGCUUUCAUGUUUUUUCAUUUGGUUUUCUGUCUGCUGUCCUGAUUGGGUGAUUUCCAUUAUUCUAUCUUCCACAUCACUAAUUUGUUCUUCUGCAUUAUUCAUUCUAGUUUUCACUGCCUUUAGUUCAGUUUGUAUCUCUGCAAAUGAAUUUUCUAGUUUUUCUUGGCUCCUCCUUAUAUUUUCUAGUUCCGUUCUGAGGGCAUCUGCAUUACUGUUCAUAUCUUAAUUCCUUCGUAUUUUCACUAUUUCCCUUUUGAACUCCAAGUCUGUCAGACUGUAGAGGUCUGUUUCAUUGUUGACUGCUUUAGGUGAGUUCUCCUGUUGAUUUAACUGGGGGUGGUUUCUCAGCUGCUUCAUCUUGCUUGUUGUUUUCUUUUUCUUGGUGGAGUUGUACUCCCCGUGGCCGUGCAGGGUUUGCCUUGGCACUGCUAUGGAGUGUUUCCCGAGGGCUGGAAUUGUUGGUCGGUUUUCUUUGAGGCAGUGUGGCUUUUCCUGAGGGUGGGCAGGGCUAACAGGGUCUCUCUGAAGCAAAGGAGGACUUCCUGAGGGCAGACAGGACUGGGAGGUCUGUACCGCAAUGGAAGCAGAUUUCACGCUGCCGGGCAGAGCUUGCUCUGGUGUUUUUGGGCUGUGGGGCUCUUCCAGGCUGCUGGUGGUGCUGGGCAGCUGUUCCACAGGAGUGCUGCACCCCCCGCAAGGGCGGGAGCAGCUGGAUGGGCCGCUGAGAACCCAAGGGGCUCUUCUCCAGGGCAGCCAGAAUUGGAAGGACUGUCUUGGAAUGGAGGUAGAUUUUGCACGGCUGGGCCAAGCUUGUUCUAGCUUUUCUGGGCUGUGGGGGCUCUUGCAGGGGGCUGGCAGUGCUGGGCAGCUGUUCCACAGGAGUGCAGCACCCCCCGAGGGUGGGAGCAGCUAGCUGGGCCGCUGAGAACCCAAGGGGCUCUUCCCCAGGGCAGCUGAAUUGGGAGGAAUGCCUCAGAAUGGAGGCAGAUUUUGCAUGGGCAGGCCAAGCUUGUCCUAGCUUUUCUGGGCUGCGGUCCUUUUCCAGGGGGCUGGUGGUGCUGGGUGCUGCUCUGUGGAGGUGAAGGCAGGCCAGGACAGGGCAAGCCCCUGUGGUGGUCAGCUUUCUGCAAAUGGUGAGGCCAGCCCUCCGGAAUGGCAAGCAGUCUCAGGUCCGGCGCGCGAGCAUGGGGUAAGGGGAGAUGCACUGGGAAGCACAGCUUUCUGAUAGCUGGCAGGCAGGUGAGCGGGCUGUGGUGUGGGGAGCAGUCUAUGGCGGCCCACCCCUCCCCCUCCUUCCUCCCCAACACUGGUGCCCUGUCCCUCCUGCAGAUCCAGCUCUUCUCCCAGGUUCCCUCUGAUGUGGCUUUCUGCUCCCCAGCCCUUAGCAUAUUGCUCCCUCCACCCGCGAAGCUCUGCUUUCUAGCCUCCCAGGCAGUCUCUGCCCCGCCAAUCUGACAGACCGCUUCCUAGACCUCCGGGCGACUCUUCCCUCCGACCGACUGGUUCCUAGUUCCCCAAGCAGUCUCCACACCGCCCACCCCAGCCCGUUCCCGGGGAAUAACCUCCUAACCUCUGGAGCCCAAGUCUCAGUGCCCAGCCCCCACCCAAGCGCCUCCGUAGUUCAGAUGAUCGGUUUUCACUCUGCUCUUCAGAUCUCAGACUUACUGCUGCGCUCUUCUCUGCAUCUGGAGAUCCCUCCAAUUCAGUUGAUCUUUCCGUUGAGUAGGUGACUUUCCAGGGUGUGGGAUCCCUUUCUCCUCCACAGUUCCCUUUCGGGAGGGCCCGUCCAGCCCCGAUUCCCCUUCUCUCACUUGCUUUUUCUUGUUUUACCCAGUUAUGUCACGAGAUUCUUGCUGUUAUUGGAGUUUAGGUUCUCUGCCAGCGAUUAUUGCUGUUCUGUGUGAAUCAUUUAACCUGUAGAUGUGUUUUUGUUUGUUGUGUUUGUGGGAGAAGGCGAGCAUGUCCCACUACUCUUCCGCCAUCUUGCCUCUCCUCUGCUUUAACUUUUUCUUCUGCAAAUUCCUCUGCCUAAUUUUAACGCUGAUAAUACCUGAAAGUUUUGGUUUUGGUCUGUUGUUCUAAUUCUGUGUGUUUUCCCUAGAUCAUUCUAGGCGCUCAGUGUUGGUUGGUAUCCUGGCCCCACCAUUAUUGCUCUGUUGCAAUAGGCCAGUUACUUGUAACUCCUCUGAGUUCACCUCCAUCAAAUGGGGAUUAAAAAAUAAGAAAUUAAGGAGUUCCUGUGUGGCUCAGGAGGUUAUAAACUUGACUAGUAUCCAUGAGGACAUGAGUUCAAUCCCUGGCCUCAGUGAGUUAAGGAUCUGGCGUUGCUGUGAACUGUGGUGUACGUUGCAGUUGUGGCUCGGAUCCUGCGUUGCUGUGGCU
rnacentral:lncRNA from 1 species